UUCGGUUUUUUAAAGUACCAGUCGUUUUCGUUUCAAGUCGAUCGAAACAUGAAGAGGACUAGGGACAUGUACCGAAGAGGAGAGAAGAGAUGGUGAGAGAACUACUGGCGGCCAUCUACCCUUCCAACCAGACGAGAAGAUGGAUUCUCCGAGCGUGUAUUGCGGAAAAUGGAUGAUGACGAAGAGUGACAAACCGUGGAACCCUAAAAAAUGGAAAAUUUCUACUUAUCCUCAAGGAUUGUUUCGCAAGGGCAUGGACAAGGGAUCAAAAAGGUGACUCAAAGCACACAGUUCACAGGCCAGUUGGCGGAAGUUCAUUACGUCAAUUCGUAUAUAAAUAGUGAAAUGACCGCAAUUAUACGGUCAGAUAUGACGAACUGCAAGUGUGUUCGUAUACACGUGCGCAAGGGUACGCACACGUGUUUCUUCGUGUAUCUACUUAUCUGUACACACAAUUUACUUGUGUUUCCAGUGACAAGAGAUUGAAUAUUUUACUUAAAUUUGGUGUUGAAGUA